GGGAAACUGCCUGAUGGAGGGGGAUAACUACUGGAAACGGUAGCUAAUACCGCAUAAUGUCGCAAGACUAAAGAGGGGGACCUUCGGGCCUCUUGCCAUCAGAUGUGCCCAGAUGGGAUUAGCUAGUAGGUGGGGUAAUGGCUCACCUAGGCGACGAUCCCUAGCUGGUCUGAGAGGAUGACCAGCCACACUGGAACUGAGACACGGUCCAGACUCCUACGGGAGGCAGCAGUGGGGAAUAUUGCACAAUGGGCGCAAGCCUGAUGCAGCCAUGCCGCGUGUAUGAAGAAGGCCUUCGGGUUGUAAAGUACUUUCAGCGGGGAGGAAGGUGUUGAGGUUAAUAACCUCAGCAAUUGACGUUACCCGCAGAAGAAGCACCGGCUAACUCCGUGCCAGCAGCCGCGGUAAUACGGAGGGUGCAAGCGUUAAUCGGAAUUACUGGGCGUAAAGCGCACGCAGGCGGUCUGUCAAGUCGGAUGUGAAAUCCCCGGGCUCAACCUGGGAACUGCAUUCGAAACUGGCAGGCUAGAGUCUUGUAGAGGGGGGUAGAAUUCCAGGU
rnacentral:rRNA from 1 species